AAUGCGAAGAUUUUCUUCCUUUUCUGUACUCAAGGGCGUAACCACGCAUUCUUUUGGGGGGGUCGUGCCCCCCCCAAUAUACAGCAGAAAAUAUGAAAAAUGCAGUGCGGCGGGCACCAGGCUGACAAGCGGCCGACGAAGCAAAGCCACGCGAAAAGCCCCAAUAGACAGAAGGGCACAUGACAGGAAUCCACGUUGGAAUCAGGCAUCCGUUUGAAUGUUUGGCACUCUUCCCCGUCCCUGAGAAGACAAGAAAGACUUGAAGCUGGAAGGGGCGAGUCUUGUGCUCUGCAGAGACAGCCGGCUCAUUGUUCAGCAGCAGCAUGAGACAAAACAGGGGGCAAAAGUAUUCAAAAAAAGAAAAAAAAGUAAGGAUCUCAAAAUAAACUGAUGGAUUCAAGCAGAGCAAGGGGAGCUGCACUCACGCGUCAGAAGAGGACACAUGACUUGGGGGGCCUGAAUGGGUUAUCGCCGGAGGGCACCCCGGUUAGGAGAGGGUCCUUGUGGGCAUUUUGCAGGCAGAAGGUCUUCAGUUCUGCAGCGGCCUGAGAAACCUAUAUUCCAUAAAUCAUAUUGUUUGAUUAAAAAGGGACGUCGCGGUUCUUCUUCCAUGUGUUCGGACAGAAAUGGGUAUUUUGAAAUGAAUACAAUAGCCGGCCACAGUUAAAGUGCAAGGUAAUCAGAAAUAUGGCUGAUUCUGGUCAAUCAUUUACUGAAUUAUAUUCAUUUUACAAUAAUACCCAAAUACCAACAAAUUAGAAGGCAAAUUAUUCAAGUUUGGUUUGUGUGUAUGUGUAUAUAGUAUAUAUUCACCAAUGUCUUUUAAGUGUUAAAGCAUUAAGAGCCUAAUCAGGCCAAAUAUUACAAAUGGGAUCAAUGCUAAAGGAUAUUCUCAUUCCUACAUGAAACUCCUCCACAAUAAAGGUCUGUGGAUUAUGA